rnacentral:rRNA from 1 species
GACGAACGCUGGCGGCGUGCUUAACACAUGCAAGUCGAACGGAAAGGCCCUGCUUUUGUGGGGUGCUCGAGUGGCGAACGGGUGAGUAACACGUGAGUAACCUGCCCUUGACUUUGGGAUAACUUCAGGAAACUGGGGCUAAUACCGGAUAGGAGCUCCUGCUGCAUGGUGGGGGUUGGAAAGUUUCGGCGGUUGGGGAUGGACUCGCGGCUUAUCAGCUUGUUGGUGGGGUAGUGGCUUACCAAGGCUUUGACGGGUAGCCGGCCUGAGAGGGUGACCGGCCACAGUGGGACUGAGAUACGGCCCAGACUCCUACGGGAGGCAGCAGUGGGGAAUAUUGCACAAUGGGCGGAAGCCUGAUGCAGCAACGCCGCGUGCGGGAUGACGGCCUUCGGGUUGUAAACCGCUUUCGCCUGGGACGAAGCGUGAGUGACGGUAAUGGGUAAAGAAGCACCGGCUAACUACGUG